GGGGUGAAGUCGUAACAAGGUAGCCGUAUCGGAAGGGGCGGCUGGAUCACCUCCUUUCUAAGGAGA
rnacentral:rRNA from 1 species